UGUUGGUCUGAGUGUAGUGGUGGUUACAACUAAUUGAUCACAACCAGUUACAGAUUUUUUUGUUCUUUCUUCACUCCACUGCUUUGCUCCCAAAGUGUU
rnacentral:Y_RNA from 1 species